rnacentral:rRNA from 1 species
GACGAACGCUGGCGGCGUGCUUAACACAUGCAAGUCGAACGAGAAAGGCUUUUCGGAGCCGAGUACAGUGGCGAACGGGUGAGUAACACGUGGGCAACCUGCCCCAUGGAGCGGGACAACCCGGGGAAACCCGGGCUAAUACCGCAUGAUUCGUACGGUCAUAAGUCCGUACGGGAAAUGGUAGCUUCGGCCUCCGCCAUGGGAUGGGCCCGCGGCGCAUUAGCUUGUUGGUGAGGUAACGGCUCACAAAGGCGACGAUGCGUAGCUGGUCUGAGAGGACGAUCAGACACACUGGGACUGAGACACGGCCCAGACUCCUACGGGAGGCAGCAGUGGGGAAUCUUGCGCAAGGGGCGGAGGCCUGACGCAGCAACGCCGCGUGUGGGAAGACGGCCUUCGGGUUGUAAACCACUUUCAGGGGGGACGAAGCUUCCGAGGUUAAUAGCCUACGGGGUGACGGUACCCCCAGAAGAAGCCCCGGCUAACUACGUGCCAGCCGCCGCAGUAACAC